CAAAUCAUUUUUUUAAAAAACGUUUGCAGUUUUGAGGCGGCUCAACGAUCUUUGAUUGUAAGUCCGACCUAGAGCAGUUACGUUGGUACCCGAAAGAUGGUGAACUAUACCGGAGUAGGGUGAAGCCAGAGGAAACUCUGGUGGAGGCCCGCAGCGGUGCUGACGUGCAAAUCGCUCGUCCAACUCGGGUAUAGGGGCGGAAGACUAAUCGAACCAUCUAGUAGCUGGUUUCCUCCGAAGUUUCUCUCAGGAUAGCAGGCUGGCGCGAUGUUGUUCCGUGUGGUAAAGCGAAUGAUUAGCGUAUUUUGGGGGUCUAGUGCCUCCAGACGAUUCUCAAACUUUAAAUACGCGAGGGAUGCUGCUGCAUUUUUUGAGCAGUUUUAUUCAAACAAAAACGCCAUAGCCUUGUGGGCCACUUUUGGUAAGCAGAACUGGCGAUACGGGAUGAACCGUAAGCGUAGUUAAGGCGCCUAAUUGUCCGCUUAAAGAACCCAAAAAAGGCGUUUAUUCAUGAAGACAGCAGGACGGUGGCCAUGGAAGUUGGCAUCCGCCAAGGAGUGUGUAACAACUCACCUGCCGAAUGGAUUAGCCCUGAAAAUGGAUGGCGCUUAAGCGGGCAGCCGACACUACGCCGUCUGACCAAAGUGGGGUUAUUCCAGAUGAGUAGGAGGACGUGGCGGUCGUGACGAAGCGUAUGUGCAAACGUGCNNNNNNNNNNNNNNNNNNNNNNNNNNNNNNNNNNNAGCAAAUAAUCAAACGUGAACCUUGAUGGGUGACGCGGGGAAGGGUUUCACGCGAACAUUGAUUGGGUGUGAGUUAGUCGUUCCUAAGUCAAGUGGCAAUAGCUAAUUAUUGGCGAAAGGGAAGCAGGUUGAUAUUCCUGCACACGGAUGUGGAUACGGUGACGCACGUCUGAGGCGAUGACGUCGGCGAUGGAGCUGGGCAGAGUUUUCUUUUCUGUUUGACCAGUACCAGUGUGCUCUGUGGAAUCCGCUUGUCGGGAGAAACAGGCACAUAUGGGCAGAGCGCCGGGAUUUCACCGGCGUCCAGCUCUCUAUCGGCGGCCCUUGAAAAAUCGUCUGCUGGCCAAACUUUAUUGUUUGGUGU
rnacentral:rRNA from 1 species